UUAAUGGAGAGUUUGAUCCUGGCUCAGGACGAACGCUGGCGGCGUGCCUAAUACAUGCAAGUCGAGCGAGGGUCUUCGGGCCCUAGCGGCGGACGGGUGAGUAACACGUAGGCAACCUGCCUGUAAGACUGGGAUAACAUAGGGAAACUUAUGCUAAUACCGGAUAGGGUUUUGCUUCGCCUGAAGCGAAACGGAAAGAUGGCGCUAGCUAUCACUUACAGAUGGGCCUGCGGCGCAUUAGCUAGUUGGUGAGGUAACGGCUCACCAAGGCAACGAUGCGUAGCCGACCUGAGAGGGUGACCGGCCACACUGGGACUGAGACACGGCCCAGACUCCUACGGGAGGCAGCAGUAGGGAAUUUUCCACAAUGGACGAAAGUCUGAUGGAGCAACGCCGCGU
rnacentral:rRNA from 1 species